CUCUCGGCAACGGAUAUCUAGGCUCUCGCAUCGAUGAAGAACGUAGCAAAAUGCGAUACUUGGUGUGAAUUGCAGAAUCCCGCGAAUCAUCGAGUUUUUGAACGCAAGUUGCGCCCGAAGCCAUUCGGCCGAGGGCACGUCUGCCUGGGUGUCACGCAUCGUUG
rnacentral:rRNA from 4 species